UCUAAUAUGGCAGAUAAGUGCAAUGGAUUUAAGCUCCAUAUAUAAAGGUUUACCCUUUUGUUAGAA
rnacentral:tRNA from 1 species